UGGGGCAGAGAAGGUUGAGGUGUCCGCUCUGCACCCACAGGCUACUGCUACUAUAAGCUCCAGGGUGCCUUCUCCUCAGAUCGCCUGGGCUGUUUCACCAAGUGCCUGAAGCCGUGCAGUGUGACCAGUUACAAGCUCUCUGCAGGUUACUCGCGAUGGCCCUCAGUGACAUCCCAGGACUGGGUCUUCCGGAUGUUAUCCCUACAGAAUAAUUACACCAUCAAAAACAAGAGAAACGGAGUUGCCAAACUCAAUGUCUUCUUCAAGGAGCUGAACUACAAAACCAAUUCUGAGUCUCCCUCCGUCACGAUGGCCACCCCC